GAUGAACGCUGGCGGCGUGCCUAAUACAUGCAAGUCGAGCGAACAGACGAGGAGCUUGCUCCUCUGACGUUAGCGGCGGACGGGUGAGUAACACGUGGAUAACCUACCUAUAAGACUGGGAUAACUUCGGGAAACCGGAGCUAAUACCGGAUAAUAUAUUGAACCGCAUGGUUCAAUAGUGAAAGACGGGUUUGCUGUCACUUAUAGAUGGAUCCGCGCCGCAUUAGCUAGUUGGUAAGGUAACGGCUUACCAAGGCAACGAUGCGUAGCCGACGUGAGAGGGUGAUCGGCCACACUGGAACUGAGACGCGGUCCAGACUCCUACGGGAGGCAGCAGUAGGGAAUCUUCCGCAAUGGGCGAAAGCCUGACGGAGCAACGCCGCGUGAGUGAUGAAGGUCUUCGGAUCGUAAAACUCUGUUAUUAGGGAAGAACAAAUGUGUAAGUAACUAUGCACGUCUUGACGGUACCUAAUCAGAAAGCCACGGCUAACUACGUG
rnacentral:rRNA from 1 species